rnacentral:rRNA from 1 species
CGCGAAGAACCUUACCAGGUCUUGACAUCCUUUGACCAUCCUAGAGAUAGGACUUUCCCUUCGGGGACAAAGUGACAGGUGGUGCAUGGUUGUCGUCAGCUCGUGUCGUGAGAUGUUGGGUUAAGUCCCGCAACGAGCGCAACCCUUAUUGUUAGUUGCCAUCAUUCAGUUGGGCACUCUAGCGAGACUGCCGCAGACAAUGCGGAGGAAGGUGGGGAUGACGUCAAAUCAUCAUGCCCCUUAUGACCUGGGCUACACACGUGCUACAAUGGAGAGUACAACGAGUUGCGAAGUCGUGAGGCUAAGCUAAUCUCUUAAAGCUCUUCUCAGUUCGGAUUGUAGGCUGCAACUCGCCUACAUGAAGCCGGAAUCGCUAGUAAUCGCGGAUCAGCACGCUGCGGUGAAUACGUUCCCGGGUCUUGUACACACC